rnacentral:rRNA from 1 species
AUUGAACGCUGGCGGAAUGCUUUACACAUGCAAGUCGAACGGCAGCACGGGGGCAACCCUGGUGGCGAGUGGCGAACGGGUGAGUAAUACAUCGGAACGUGCCCGGUCGUGGGGGAUAACGUAGCGAAAGUUACGCUAAUACCGCAUACGAUCUGAGGAUGAAAGCGGGGGACCUUCGGCCUCGCGCGAUCGGAGCGGCCGAUGUCAGAUUAGGUAGUUGGUGGGGUAAAGGCCUACCAAGCCGACGAUCUGUAGCUGGUCUGAGAGGACGACCAGCCACACUGGGACUGAGACACGGCCCAGACUCCUACGGGAGGCAGCAGUGGGGAAUUUUGGACAAUGGGCGCAAGCCUGAUCCAGCCAUUCCGCGUGCAGGACGAAGGCCUUCGGGUUGUAAACUGCUUUUGUAUGGAACGAAAAGGCUCUGGCUAAUACCUGGGGCUCAUGACGGUACCGUAAGAAUAAGCACCGGCUAACUACGUG